ensembl:lncRNA
CCUGGACUAUAGCAUAAACUCGGAUAAUUGACUCUGGGGCCCAGGCAUCUGGGCUAGCUUAGCAGCAGAUGUUCACAGUCACUUUCUAAAGCCAUCCUCGUGCUUCUGUGUUCUGGUGUUGUGCUUCUGAGGGGAUGUUGCUAAAUUUCUGAAGACGUCUCCUGCAUGUUGUAAAGCUCAGCUGCUCUCUGCUUAGCCCCCAGGCUGUCCUUGUGGGGACAUGGCAGGGAAGGGAGAAUUUGGAGGAGGUGACUAGAAGAGCGUUAAUUCUUGUUGGUUUAAUAUGCCUCAGUUUUGUGAGAAAGCACAAACAGGAGCAGAACCAAGCCACCUAUAACGUGCAGUUUACAGUGAUGCCUGACUGCAAAGAGACUGUCAAAAUCCCAGUCCUUAUCUCUUCUAAAUGGACACAGCAUCACACGGAGGUUGUCUUUCUGUCAUACUUGGUCCUUCACUGAGGCUUCAAUCAUCUUGUGUUGCAGUACUCAGCUGUCAUCACUCCAUUUCAGUGUGCCUGUCUCUGAGUGCUGCUGUACCAGACAGUGUGUUAC